AUUGAACGCUGGCGGCAUGCUUUACACAUGCAAGUCGAACGGCAGCGCGGGCUUCGGCCUGGCGGCGAGUGGCGAACGGGUGAGUAAUGCAUCGGAACGUGCCCAGUAGUGGGGAAUAGCCCGGCGAAAGCCGGAUUAAUACCGCAUACGACCUGAGGGUGAAAGCGGGGGACCGAAAGGCCUCGCGCUAUUGGAGCGGCCGAUGUCGGAUUAGCUAGUUGGUGGGGUAAAGGCUUACCAAGGCGACGAUCCGUAGCUGGUCUGAGAGGACGGCCAGCCACACUGGGACUGAGACACGGCCCAGACUCCUACGGGAGGCAGCAGUGGGGAAUUUUGGACAAUGGGGGCAACCCUGAUCCAGCCAUGCCGCGUGCGGGAAGAAGGCCUUCGGGUUGUAAACCGCUUUUGUUCGGGAAGAAAUCCUCUGGGCUAAUACCCCGGGGGGAUGACGGUACCGGAAGAAUAAGCACCGGCUAACUACGUGCCAGCAGCCGCGGUAAUACGUAGGGUGCGAGCGUUAAUCGGAAUUACUGGGCGUAAAGCGUGCGCAGGCGGUUGUGCAAGACAGAUGUGAAAUCCCCGGGCUUAACCUGGGAACUGCAUUUGUGACUGCACGGCUGGAGUGCGGCAGANGGGAGUGGAAUUCCGCGUGUAGCANUGAAAUGCGUAGAUAUGCGGAGGAACACCGAUGGCGAAGGCAGCUCCCUGGGCCUGCACUGACGCUCAUGCACGAAAGCGUGGGGAGCAAACAGGA
rnacentral:rRNA from 1 species